UACGAAGGGGGCUAGCGUUGUUCGGAAUUACUGGGCGUAAAGGGCGCGCAGGCGGCUCUUCAAGUCAGAUGUGAAAGCCCCGGGCUCAACCUGGGAACUGCAUUUGAGACUGGAGAGCUCGAGUUCGGGAGAGGAGAGCGGAAUUCCCAGUGUAGAGGUGAAAUGCGCAGAUAUCAGGAAGAACACCCGUGGCUAAGGCGGCUCUCUAGUACGGUACUGACGCUGAGACGCGAAAGCGUGGGGAGCGAACAGG
rnacentral:rRNA from 1 species